GUAAGCCGUAUGCCAUAGUAGGGCACGUGCGGUUUGAUGAGGGGGGAGCCAUGAAAGUGGUUUCCCUACUCUAU
rnacentral:autocatalytically_spliced_intron from 1 species